rnacentral:rRNA from 1 species
UGGGGAAUUUUCCGCAAUGGGCGAAAGCCUGAUCCAGCCAUGCCGCGUGAGUGAUGAAGGCCCUAGGGUUGUAAAGCUCUUUCAGUGGGGAAGAUAAUGACGGUACCCACAGAAGAAGCCCCGGCUAACUUCGUGCCAGCAGCCGCGGUAAUACGAAGGGGGCUAGCGUUGUUCGGAAUUACUGGGCGUAAAGCGCACGUAGGCGGAUUGAUCAGUCAGGGGUGAAAUCCCGGGGCUCAACCCCGGAACUGCCUUUGAUACUGUCAGUCUUGAGUUCGAGAGAGGUGAGUGGAAUUCCGAGUGUAGAGGUGAAAUUCGUAGAUAUUCGGAGGAACACCAGUGGCGAAGGCGGCUCACUGGCUCGAUACUGACGCUGAGGUGCGAAAGCGUGGGGAGCAAACAGGAUUAGAUACCCCUGUAGUCC